UACGUAGGGGGCAAGCGUUGUCCGGAUUUAUUGGGCGUAAAGAGCGUGUAGGCGGCCAGAUAGGUCCGUUGUGAAAACUGGAGGCUUAACCUCCAGCGGUCGAUGGAAACCAUUUAGCUAGAGUCCGGAAGAGGAGAGUGGAAUUCCUGGUGUAGCGGUGAAAUGCGCAGAUAUCAGGAAGAACACCCGUGGCGAAGGCGGCUCUCUGGGACGGUACUGACGCUGAGAUGCGAAAGCGUGGGGAGCGAACAGG
rnacentral:rRNA from 1 species